UAUGAAGAACGUAGCGAAAUGCGAUACGUAAUGUGAAUUGCAGAAUUCAGUGAAUCAUCGAGUCUUUGAACGCACAUUGCGCCCCCUGGUAUUCCGGGGGGCAUGCCUGUCCGAGUGUCAUUGCUGCCCUCAAGCCCGGCUUGUGUGUUGGGUCUCGUCCCCCUUCCCGGGGGGACGGGCCCGAAAGGCAGCGGCGGCACCGCGUCCGGUCCUCGAGCGUAUGGGGCUUUGUCACCCGCUCUGUAGGCCCGGCCGGCGCUUGCCGAUCAACCAAAACUUUUUUCCAGGUUGACCUCGGAUCAGGUAGGGAUACCCGCUGAACUUAAGCAUAUCAAUAAGCGGAGGA
rnacentral:misc_RNA from 1 species